UUAAAAGUAAACAACUUACGAACCAUUAAAGAUACUUUUGUCUAUUUAAUAUAAAAAUAAAAAAACACACAGAAGCUACAUUUUAACAAAAACUACGUUUUAAAAUCGGAUCUAUCAGAUCCUUUCAAAAUCUUACACAAUUUUUUGAAGAACACACACUACUUAUUAGCACCACCACCAUCGCCUCCAUCACCACCACCUACCGUCUUUAUCACCUCCGUCUACCGCCUUUAUCACUACCGCCACCAGCAGAGAACCACUGUCGGAAGACCGCCAUCACCUCUCUCCACUGUCUUUGUUCUACCACCGCCCCCACCACUCUCGAUGUCCAACUUUAUGAUUUUCCGGUAGCCUCUAGAUCUACGAUUUUCCGGUCACUGUUGCACUAGAUCUGAGAUCUAUGAUUUCCCGACCACCGCCACUUCAUAUGCUUCUCGAUGAUGCUCUGCAACGAUCACGAAUAACAGCACCUCCAUGAUCUCAGGUGAGAAACAACUAAAUCUAUAUCAGAUAUGACAUGUUCAAGCUCUAACACCGGCGAACACCACCAUUGCCUUUAUCUGCCGCCGCCACCACUGAUGUCCAUCGGCUCCAGUGAAACUCCUCCACGUCACCUACAUCACCUCCUCCUCUUCUUAUCGGCGAGACCAGAUCUAGAAGCUCUGACGAACGAGAUCUACGAUUUCUAACAGAUCUCUUCCUCGUCUUCUCCUCCGACGAUUUCUUCCGUCUUCGUCUCCUCCGUCGUCGGCUCCUCCGUUAUCUAUUUCGUUUAAACUAUCAGCAACAACGACGAAGUGCAAAACACAUCUAAGUAAGCGAUGUUUUUUCCGUUGACGUCUUCCAACGAGAUGUUCCGACUGCUGUUUAGGCUUUCCGAUGAGUUCAACAUGAACAAGUGUGUUGUUUGGUCACGAGUUCCGACAAAGACCCGUUUCGACGAGUAUUUUAUGUGUUAUUCAACGAUUAUCGUUAAAAAUAAAAUGGAGAUUUGUGAGAAGUGAGAGCUCGAAAUUACUCUCUGGUAAUGUUAUGGAGACAUUUUGAACAGUUUAAGAUGAUGUAUCACAUGAUGUAUGUGUGCGCAUGGGUGAUUGGAUGUUAGGCGUGCGACAAUUGGCUGACAUAUCUAGAUAUGAAUAGUUAUUAGCUAUUUUCUAUAUUUCUUGUUGUGAUGGAGCCAGUGAAGACAAAACAUCAUAAUGAGUGACGGUAUUGACUCGAAGGAGCAUGACAAUCUCAACGAUGUAAAUCACCUCAAAUCUCGAAACAAUGUGCACAAAAGGGAAGGAUGUUGGCGGUGUUGGCAUUGACGCUUGGUGGUGGCAAUGGUUGAUGGUAGUGUACGGUAGUUGGCAGUGUUGAUGGUGGUGGUAGAUGUUAUAUUUCUCACUCAUGGUCUUCGUUGAUUUCAGAUAAGUUAUCCUCUUUUAUGAUUUAUGCAAAUGUUUUUCUUUUGAUGUUUGCUUCUGAAGUAUUACAUAAUUUAUGUAUCUAUAAAACUAUAAAUUACUUGUUUGUACACUGAAAUAUGAGAUUAUACUUGUAAAUAAGUUAUGAAUAUAUUGUAUUAAACUGUGAAUUUGUUGUAUUAAACUGUAAAUUUAUUCACAACUUAGUAUAAUAAAUUCACAAUUUAAUAGAUAAAAUCCCUCUAGAUAUGAACAUAUAAAUGUUAGUUUUAAGUUAAAGAAUAUAGUUGUGCAUAUAUAAUUUUUUAAGUAUUAAACCUUGAAUUAUUAUUUUAAGUUGUGAAAUUUGUAUAUUAAACUAUGAAGUGGUUGUAUUAAGAUAUGAAUUAACUAUAUUAAGUCGUGAAUUUUUUAUGAAUUUAGUUUUUACUUUUGACAUAUGUGAAGAAAGAAUCAUUAUACAUAUAUAUGAUUUUCUGUAAUUUUAAAUAAAUUAUAUUAAAUUUAAAUUGUGAAUAUUGUGUAAAUUAAACUUUGAAAAAACACCAACCCUUAGACCUAAAGUUAUAAAUAUAAGUUUUAAGUUAAGAAUAUGACAUUUUUGUGUAUUAAAUUGUUAAUUAAUUAUAUAAAGCUUUGAAUUUUAUAUAUUAAACGAUAAUUGACUAUAUUAAAUUGUGAAUUGGCUGCAUAUUGCAAUUUUUGUGUUAAAAAUAAAUGACUUAUGUAAGAAUUUCUGUAUUAAUUUCUUGUGAAUAGAUUUAUUUUUUGUGUUGUAUAAGUAUGUAAGAAUGAAUUAAUAUUUAUAUUUAUUUUGCAUUAAUAGGUGAAUUAAUCAGUUUAUUAAACUGUGAAUGUAGUAUUUAACAUGUUUUUGCAUGACUUUAUAUACAUACCUCACUUGAAAAAAAAAAAAGAAUUGCUGAAAUGUUGGUAGAUGUGGUUAGUGGCGUCAUGUGGUGGUUGUGGUGGUGGUAGAGUUUGAGUUUGAUUUUCCAGAAUUUGAGAAUUAUUGUAAAAAUGGUUGUAUUAAGUUGUGAAUUUUUUAUAUUAAACUGUAAAUUGGACUGUAUAAACUUGUGUUUAUAUAAGUUUUGUAUUAAAAUA